rnacentral:rRNA from 1 species
GUGAGGAAUUUUCCGCAAUGGGCGAAAGCCUGACGGAGCAAUGCCGCGUGAAGGAUGAAGGCCUAUGGGUUGUAAACUUCUUUUCUCAGAAAAGAAUUAUGACGGUAUCUGAGGAAUAAGCAUCGGCUAACUCUGUGCCAGCAGCCGCGGUAAGACAGAGGAUGCAAGCGUUAUCCGGAAUGAUUGGGCGUAAAGCGUCUGUAGGUUGUUUAAAAAGUAUUCUGUCAAAGAUUAGGGCUUAACCCUAGAUAGGCAGAAUAAACUUUUAAGCUAGAGUUUGGUAGAGGCAGAGGGAAUUCCCGGUGGAGCGGUGAAAUGCGUAGAUAUCGGGAGGAACACCAAAGGCGAAGGCACGCUGCUGGGCCAAUACUAACACUGAGAGACGAAAGCGAGGGGAGCAAAUGGGAUUAGAAACCCCAGUAGUCC